AUGUGAUCAUCAUUUUAUAUUGUUUAUGUUUCAUUGCGUACAUCACUUUAAAUGCUCCAGUUUUAGGAGUUUUAUACAGGACAGUGUAGGAACCCAUGUUACUUUCCCCUCUCUUCUGAGUGACGAAAACUGCUCAGCAGGCCGUGUGCACAACUGCAAGGAACAUUCAGCGGACACGUUGUCCAAAGGAACAAUUCGUGGCUAACCACAGCUUUUUCACCAUUUGGAUUGGUAGUGAAAUAAAAGUCAGCUCCUGAU